GUGAAUCAUCGAAUUUUUGAACGCAAAUUGCACUCCCUGGUAUUCCGGGGAGUAUGCCUGUUUGAGGGUCGUUAGAAUAAAAAAGCUAUGCGUCGCUCUUUGUGUUAAGGGUAAUCGCUUCGGAAUUAGACCGUCUUUCAAAUAUUAGUUCGUGUCAGAUUUGCUUAAAAUGCGUCCAUCCGGUACGAUUAAAGCGUAUGUAAAGUCAAUUUUAAUUAGGAACUCUCGAUGACUUACCAUCUGAUGUGGUACGUUUAACCUGUGUCAUCAGGUUCAUUCUUAUACUAU
rnacentral:misc_RNA from 1 species